AGAAAAGGGGGAAGAAAGAAAAAUUCUCUCCUUGACUCACUCUCGGACUUCUCACUCUCGCUCUCUCUCGGCUAGAAUAGAAAAGAAUCAGACGAAAAAAUUCCCUCUCCCUCUACUCUUUGUCUCCCUCAAUUCACUCUCUCCCUCUCUGGACUUCCAGAGAGCAAAAGAAGCAUAAGAAGAUAAAAUUACAAGAGACCCCCUCAUUUGCUCCCUCUCUCAGGCCUCAGGUGCAGAAGGGCAAGGCCAAUAAAAACGGUUGAAGGCUCUGAAUUUCAUCAAAUUCUUAGGAAAAGG
rnacentral:lncRNA from 1 species